GACGAACGCUGGCGGCGUGCUUAACACAUGCAAGUCGAACGGAAAGGCCCUGCUUUUGUGGGGUGCUCGAGUGGCGAACGGGUGAGUAACACGUGAGUAACCUGACCUUGACUUUGGGAUAACUUCAGGAAACUGGGGCUAAUACCGGAUAGGAGCUCCUGCUGCAUGGUGGGGGUUGGAAAGUUUCGGCGGUUGGGGAUGGACUCGCGGCUUAUCAGCUUGUUGGUGGGGUAGUGGCUUACCAAGGCUUUGACGGGUAGCCGGCCUGAGAGGGUGACCGGCCACAUGGGGACUGAGAGACGGCCCAGACUCCUACGGUGGACAGCAGUGGGGAAUAUUGCACAAUGGGCGGAAGCCUGAUGCAGCAACGCCGCGUGCGGGAUGACGGCCUUCGGGUUGUAAACCGCUUUCGCCUGUGACGAAGCGUUAGUGACGGUAAUGGGUAAAGAAGCACCGGCUAACUACGUG
rnacentral:rRNA from 1 species